AAGUCGUAACAAGGUUUCCGUACAUGAACCUGCGGAAGGAUCAUUAACACGUAUCCAAACCCCGUGAACCUUCAUCCUGAUCUUGUAACCCGCGGAGCUCGCAAUCUCUGGUAUAUCAUAGCCCGGAAAGUAGUUUGAUUCAGAGACCUCUGGCCCGUGCAAACAUUGAAACAGUUACAAUCGACUGCGGUAGUUCUAGAGGCAUUGUUUCGCCAAGCAGUCAGUGUCUGAAAGUGUCAUUGAUUGUGCAAGGAUAGCGCUUAACGAUUCCUGCAGACCAUGCCAAAGGGUCCCCAUGCCCCCUUAUAACCCCACAGUUUAAUGUGAAGCUCAAUGUAAUACAUUGGGUAAAAAAACCGAACAACUGUUAACAAUGGAUAUCUUGGUUCUC
rnacentral:misc_RNA from 1 species